AAAACGGCUCUUUUCAGAGCCACUACAAAGUAUACCAAAUGGUUCUU
rfam:Acromyrmex echinatior unplaced genomic scaffold scaffold185, whole genome shotgun sequence.